rnacentral:rRNA from 1 species
UACGUAGGGGGCUAGCGUUGUCCGGAAUCAUUGGGCGUAAAGAGCGUGUAGGCGGUCCGGUAAGUCCGCUGUGAAAGUCGGGGGCUCAACCCUCGGAUGCCGGUGGAUACUGUCGGGCUUGAGUACGGAAGAGGCGAGUGGAAUUCCUGGUGUAGCGGUGAAAUGCGCAGAUAUCAGGAGGAACACCAAUUGCGAAGGCAGCUCGCUGGGCAGUAACUGACGCUGAGGAGCGAAAGCGUGGGGAGCGAACAGG